CGAGUUUUGCUGUCCGCCAUUACUUCGUUCAGAAAGUGCAGCUUUUCUGUUGUAGAUGGCGACUCUUAAAGGUUCACGCUUCUUUGCUGAAAAUGUCACAAUUGUAGCCAUAUUGCUGAAUUUGGUUUCUCAGAAGAAUGAAGCUGAAACAGAGCUUGAGAGGUGUACAAUGGCAGUGUUUGUCAUCAGGGAGGAUGAGAAUCCUCUCCAACCACCACAUGAAAUUGGGUUUGUAAUUGAAGGUGUGGAAGUCCUUAAUGAGUGAGUUACCGUCAGUCGCACAUGCAUGUGCCAUGUUGUUUGGCCUCAUCUAUGCUGUAAACUUGAGCUAGCCAGGUGAGCUCAAAUACUCUUUCGAUGCACUGCAGAAAAUAUUCAUGGAGAUAGAACCAAAGAAAAUGACACGCAGAGUGUGCAGUCUUCGUGCCAAGCUUUAAAUCUUUGAUAUAUCUUUGAUAUGUUUUGUUCUGUUGUAUUGCAUGUAUUCAAAUACCUUCCAGGAAACAUGGAACGUGUCAUUGUUAACAGAAUUCUUUCUGUGGUAGAAAUAUUGUGGCACUGAAAAUAACAUUGAAAAUGUGAAUAUGCUAUAUUCACAAUAACCAGCAUUUCAGUAAUACUAGCCUUUGUUCAUAGAUUGCACUCUCAGCAAUUGAACUGCUUUUCCAUGGUUCGUUUAA